AGACAGUAGUCACAGCGUAGUGUACCAUAUUAAGGCAUUGUUUAGUUACUAUUUAUGAAGAUACAGUUGAAAUAGGGCCACCUGGCCAUUACAUAGCUUGCUGUACCACAAGAAGUUCACACAGCUCCUGCAUAGAUCAACAAGCAUGCCAUAUAGCUUAGGAAAGGUCAUGCUCAUGUUCUGUUCCUGUGCUCCUAAGGCAAAAUUAAACUCUGAGUAUUUAUGAAGAGAAAAAACUCAUUUAAUUUGACGUAUAAUGUGCUGUAGAGAACACUGCAAUAACCACAGCAGCUCCUGGUGGUAAGAUCAGGACAGGCUUGUUUUCUGAACAUCCUACAUUUUUAUUCUUUAUUCUAAACUAAAUCUCUUGCAUUUACAUGACUGAAGUCAAGCUGAAAUUCAUAUUCUGAAAUAAACUCUCUGUGUAUGUUCUCAGUGAGCCUGACAGGAACUUGUAUCUGUGAAGACUGUGAGGUGUUUUUGUCUCUGAAUGAUAUACAGUGGGAGGUGUGAAAGUCUUUGGAUCAGGCACAAGACUUUAUGUGGAAGCUGCUGCUCCAGUGGGACCUAAGCUGUCAGCGUACUCAGUUCUCAAACCAAACAAUGGAAAGGGCAUACUGAUGUGUCAGGCCAGAGACAUGGUUCCAAACCUGGUGAGGUUCACAUGGAAGGAUCAAAGUGACACAGAGCUGACGCUGUCAGAGACAUAUGACCUACUGGAGCAGAAAGACGAUGAGGAGGCCAGAGUGACCAGCAUGCUCAUCAUAGACCAACAGAAAGCAAGUUCUACUUCUUACACCUGCUCUGUCCAACAUGAGGAUAAGCACGAUAAAAUCAAAAUCACAGCAGAACCUUUGAAGGGCUCUGAUUCUGACCCUGUCCAACCCUGCCCGCCCCAACAAGGUAAAAAGAAAAAAAAAACAGCUUAUAUAAUAAUAUAUAUUUGGAAAACACAAUGUUUUGUUGUAAAAUCAUGUUCAUUUAUAUUUACAGUAUAAUUCAGUAUAAAGCUAACACUCUGAACACAGGAAGAGGUUUAGACAUUUAGCAUGAGGACAAAGCAAAAUGCAUCCUCUAUAGAGAACACACUUGUGCACAUUUUAAAGCACAAUUACUGUUCAUUUACUGAAUUUGACAUGAUGGGGAAAAUGUAAAAUGUUUUCCAGUAUGUUACACUAUGUUAAAAUAAAACUUGUGCAAUAAAAUUUUGCAAAAAAAAUGUCACAUUUAAGUGUGUUCUCUAUACAGGAUAUGUCAACUCAUUUUAACUUGGAAAAUCAGCAAAACAAAUAAUUUGACCCGGGGUGUUUAAACUUUUGCAUACGACUUCUUUAUGUCUUUGGCAGGUUCGUUGGAGCUGGUGCACAGACUGUAUCUGUUCAAUCUCAUGUACGUGUCUCUGCUGGUGAAGAACGUGCUGUAUUUCUGUGCUGUGGGGAUCUUACUGUACAAGAGUAGAGUUGAGAACAACAAAACUUUCAGCAAAACCAGUCCAACAUCAAACCAGGACAAAUGAAGAGUUUCAGAUUGUCACAUAUAUUUCCUUUUUUUAUUGUUUUUCUUAUUUCACUUGCUAGACAGAGAGUUAAUUCUGUUAAUAACAUACUUCAACCAUCUCUUAUACAUUUACACACACCUGCAAUUUACCUUUGAUUGCAUUUAUCAUGUUUUAACUUGCUACUUUUAAAAUAUCACUUAUCAUACAGGAAUAGUUUUGCAUUGUUUUAGGAAAGUGUUAAUGUCUGAUACUGCAGUUUAAAGCAGUCUAAAUAAGUCUAAUAAUUUCUUAUUGGUAUCUGUAAUAAAGUGUCUGUUGGAUUUUUUUUCUUAUUUUUUUUUAUUGGACUUAAAAUAAAUCAAAUAAAACUCUUAUUUCAGC
ensembl:lncRNA